rnacentral:rRNA from 1 species
AAGGUAGCAUAAUCAUUUGUCUCUUAAAUGGGGACUUGUAUGAAUGGCAUAACAUUUUCUAACUGUCUCCUUUUUUAACCUUUUAAACUUCUAUUCAUGUGAAGAAGCAUGAAUAAAAAAGAUAGACGAGAAGACCCUGUCGAGCUUUAAUUAAUAUUAAAUAAAUUAAUUUCCUUAAAGGCUUUAAUAAAUUUAAUUUAAAUUUUGGUUGGGGUAACCAUGGAGAAUAAAAAUCCUCCAGUUAAAUAAGAUGAUUUCCCAUCACUUUUAUAAAUUUUAAAGACCCAGAUAUUCUGGUAAUCGGAAAAAGUUACCGCAGGGAUAACAGCGUUAUCUUCUCUAAGAGUUCAUAUUGACGAGAAGGUUUGCGACCUCGAUGUUGGAUUGGGGUAUCCAAAAGGUGUAGCAGCUUUUUAAGGUUGGACUGUUCGUCCAUUAAAACCCUACGUGAUCUGA